AUGCAAGUCGAGCGGUACAGAUCCAGCUUGCUGGAUGCUGACGAGCGGCGGACGGGUGAGUAAUGCAUAGGAAUCUGCCCGAUAGUGGGGGAUAACCUGGGGAAACCCAGGCUAAUACCGCAUACGUCCUACGGGAGAAAGGGGGCUUCGGCUCCCGCUAUCGGAUGAGCCUAUGUCGGAUUAGCUAGUUGGUGAGGUAAAGGCUCACCAAGGCAACGAUCCGUAGCUGGUCUGAGAGGAUGAUCAGCCACAUCGGGACUGAGACACGGCCCGAACUCCUACGGGAGGCAGCAGUGGGGAAUAUUGGACAAUGGGGGCAACCCUGAUCCAGCCAUGCCGCGUGUGUGAAGAAGGCCCUCGGGUUGUAAAGCACUUUCAGCGAGGAAGAACGCCUAGCGGUUAAUACCCGCUAGGAAAGACAUCACUCGCAGAAGAAGCACCGGCUAACUCCGUGCCAGCAGCCGCGGUAAUACGGAGGGUGCAAGCGUUAAUCGGAAUUACUGGGCGUAAAGCGCGCGUAGGUGGCUUGAUAAGCCGGUUGUGAAAGCCCCGGGCUCAACCUGGGAACGGCAUCCGGAACUGUCAAGCUAGAGUGCAGGAGAGGAAGGUAGAAUUCCCGGUGUAGCGGUGAAAUGCGUAGAGAUCGGGAGGAAUACCAGUGGCGAAGGCGGCCUUCUGGACUGACACUGACACUGAGGUGCGAAAGCGUGGGUAGCAAACAGGAUUAGAUACCCUGGUAGUCCACGCCGUAAACGAUGUCGACCAGCCGUUGGGUGCCUAGCGCACUUUGUGGCGAAGUUAACGCGAUAAGUCGACCGCCUGGGGAGUACGGCCGCAAGGUUAAAACUCAAAUGAAUUGACGGGGGCCCGCACAAGCGGUGGAGCAUGUGGUUUAAUUCGAUGCAACGCGAAGAACCUUACCUACUCUUGACAUCCUGCGAAUUCGGUAGAGAUACCUUAGUGCCUUCGGGAACGCAGAGACAGGUGCUGCAUGGCUGUCGUCAGCUCGUGUUGUGAAAUGUUGGGUUAAGUCCCGUAACGAGCGCAACCCUUGUCCUUAUUUGCCAGCGCGUAAUGGCGGGAACUCUAAGGAGACUGCCGGUGACAAACCGGAAGAAGGUGGGGACGACGUCAAGUCAUCAUGGCCCUUACGAGUAGGGCUACCCACGUGCUACAAUGGUCG
rnacentral:rRNA from 1 species